CCCCCCCCCCAAGAGCCUCGUGUUUACAUUCCCAGACCGAUAGAGAACAAGUGCCGUGAGGGGAAGAUGAAAAGCGCUUUGGAAAGAGAGUUUUAAGUACGUGAAAUUGUCUAAAGGGAAGCGCUUGAAGUCAGCCAUGCUGCUUGAGACUCAGCCUGGCCUUUGGGCUUGGUGUAUUUCUCGGUGGCAAGCCAGCAUUGGUUUGGGUCGUCGGAGAAGCGCAUAGGGAAUGUGGCGUUCCCGGACGUGUUAUAGCCUUAUGCAGGAUACGACGACCUGGAUCAAGGAACGCAGUGUGCCCUACCUCGCGGGUCUUCGGACACCUUC
rnacentral:rRNA from 1 species